GCAAGUCGAGCGGAAACGACACUAACAAUCUUUCGGGUGCGUUAAUGGGCGUCGAGCGGCGGACGGGUGAGUAAUGCCUAGGAAAUUGCCUUGAUGUGGGGGAUAACCAUUGGAAACGAUGGCUAAUACCGCAUAAUGCCUACGGGCCAAAGAGGGGGAUCUUCGGACCUCUCGCGUCAAGAUAUGCCUAGGUGGGAUUAGCUAAUUGGUGAGGUAAUGGCUCACCAAGGCGACGAUCCCUAUCUGGUCUGAGAGGAUGAUC
rnacentral:rRNA from 1 species